UACAGAGGGGGCAAGCGUUAUUCGGAUUCACCGGGCGUAAAGGGUGCGCAGGCGGCCGAGUGUGUUAGAUGUGAAAUCCCGGGGCUCAACCCCGGAACUGCGUCUAAAACUACUUGGCUAGAGUAUUGGAGAGGGUAUCGGAAUUCACGGUGUAGCAGUGAAAUGCGUAGAUAUCGUGAGGAACACCAGAGGCGAAGGCGGAUACCUGGACAAUUACUGACGCUCAGGCACGAAAGCGUGGGGAGCAAACGGG
rnacentral:rRNA from 1 species